UUUAUAGUAUUAUAAUGCAGCAAAAGAUAAUGAAUCAAUAAGUUUUUUGAUGAAAUUGACACCAUUAUGAGACAAUGAAAGUUUUGUGAAUUAAAUGUAAGACUUUUUAAAAACCUAAGGCCUUUUUUAGAGGCCUUAAAUUAAUGCUUUUUAUUACGUUAAGACCUGCAGAUACUCUACUAUGUAAUAUGACUGUUUUAUUGGCUAAUGAUAAUUCUAACACAUCAAAGCGUCCCUCAACGCACCACCGAGGACAGGUUAUAAAAUGCCCACAACCUUGAAGGAAGCC